UACGAAGGGGGCUAGCGUUGCUCGGAAUCACUGGGCGUAAAGCGCCCGUAGGCGGCUCUUUAAGUCAGAGGUGAAAUCCUGGAGCUCAACUCCAGAACUGCCUUUGAUACUGGGGAUCUUGAGUCCGGAAGAGGUUAGUGGAACUGCGAGUGUAGAGGUGAAAUUCGUAGAUAUUCGCAAGAACACCAGUGGCGAAGGCGGCUAACUGGUCCGGUACUGACGCUGAGGUGCGAAAGCGUGGGGAGCAAACAGG
rnacentral:rRNA from 1 species